AGGGAAUCUUCCACAAUGGACGCAAGUCUGAUGGAGCAACGCCGCGUGAGUGAAGAAGGUCUUCGGAUCGUAAAGCUCUGUUGUUGGUGAAGGAAGGAUAGAGGCAGUAACUGGUCUUUAUUUGACGGUAAUCAACCAGAAAGUCACGGCUAACUACGUGCCAGCAGCCGCGGUAAUACGUAGGUGGCAAGCGUUGUCCGGAUUUAUUGGGCGUAAAGCGAGCGCAGGCGGAAUGAUAAGUCUGAUGUGAAAGCCCACGGCUCAACCGUGGAACUGCAUCGGAAACUGUCAUUCUUGAGUGCAGAAGAGGAGAGUGGAACUCCAUGUGUAGCGGUGGAAUGCGUAGAUAUAUGGAAGAACACCAGUGGCGAAGGCGGCUCUCUGGUCUGCAACUGACGCUGAGGCUCGAAAGCAUGGGUAGCGAACAGGAUUAGAUACCCUGGUAGUCCAUGCCGUAAACGAUGAGCGCUAGGU
rnacentral:rRNA from 1 species